ACUUGAUGAUGUGGACAUUUAUGAAGUAUGUCCUUGAAACACUCCCAUGUCUAAAAAAAAAGGUCCCCAACCGUCUGUGUGAAACUUGUGAUUGCCCUUCGCAGCU